UAUGCCCUGCCUGCCAGGCCCCCAACCCAGGCUUGGCGGCCGCACUCACCGCCUCGCUCCGCGCCUGCGCCGCACGCCUCAGGGGCCCGCCGUGAGGGCAGGGAGGUGACUAGUGGUGAAACCAUGCAGCGGUCCUGGGAAGGAGAUCAUUUUGCCCGCCAGCGCCGGCGCCUUCAUUCCACUAGCGUUGUGCCCUGGCAGCGAGGAACUUCUGAUUUGCGCUGGCAGCUGGACAUCAGCUCUCUGUUGACUAAGACAACUCUACUGAGAACCAACUUAUAGAAAAGUCAAAAACCGGAAAGACAUAAUUAUUUAUGAUGAUCACUAAUCACAGUGAAACACCACCUCCUGGAGGCAGUGGAUGGGAACUCUUGGGGUGUCCCAAGUAGACCGUCUGCUUUGAGAAGUUUCCUUUUUUUGUGAAGUCAUUUUAUUUUCAGACAAGAUUUGAAUGAAGCUGUACAUGCUCUGGAUGCCUUACUUGCAUGUGUUCGCUCCCCACCUAGGUGAGGUAAGGCAGUUACUUAUCUUCCCUUACGGCCAGUG